GACGAACGCUGGCGGCGUGCUUAACACAUGCAAGUCGAACGGUAAGGCCCUUCGGGGUACACGAGUGGCGAACGGGUGAGUAACACGUGGGUGAUCUGCCCUGCACUUCGGGAUAAGCCUGGGAAACUGGGUCUAAUACCGGAUAGGACUCCGGACUGCAUGGUCUGGGGUGGAAAGCUUUUGCGGUGUGGGAUGGGCCCGCGGCCUAUCAGCUUGUUGGUGGGGUGAUGGCCUACCAAGGCGACGACGGGUAGCCGGCCUGAGAGGGUGACCGGCGACACUGGGACUGAGAUACGGCCCAGACUACUACGGGAGGCAGCAGUGGGGAAUAUUGCACAAUGGGCGCAAGCCUGAUGCAGCGACGCCGCGUGAGGGAUGACGGCCUUCGGGUUGUAAACCUCUUUCAGCACAGACGAAGCGCAAGUGACGGUAUGUGCAGAAGAAGGACCGGCCAACUACGUGCCAGCAGCCGCGGUAA
rnacentral:rRNA from 1 species